AGAUCCUGGAGGCAACUCCUGUCUACUGUUCCUGUUGCAGAGGGACCAACUCAGUUAGAAACACUGUUUUCGUGAGUGACAUCCCAUCUGUGGCCCCACCAACUAUUGUCCACUAAGGACAACUAUGGAUCCUCUGUCAAUUAAGGGAAUUUCGAUCUCAGCUUUCUCAGGUCUGCUCAAGGUUGCAGGCGUAAGCGUGUCCGCACCUGCAUGGGUUGUUCCAUUUCUGUGUAGUGCUGUUGUAGUUGCGAGUGCUGCAUAUAUCGCUCACAAAGUUAAGAAACCUACAAAGAAGGAUUCCUGAGUGGCCCAUGAUGCACAGCAGGAUGUUGCUGGACACAGUCAGGAUCAAACCCCGAAAUUGACAGUGUUUCUAUGAGUAGUCCCAAUAAUCAAUAACAGUCGAUGAUCAAUAGUUGUUCUACUAAUGGCACUUUUGUAGUUGGAUGGACCUUGUAUGCCUGUUAUUUUCAUAUGUACAAUCUUCCCAGUGCUUUGUUAUAUUUUACCGUUUUCCUAAUUAAAUAUCUAGAUUAAUGAGUAAGCUGUCAUGUCU